UCAUUAAGAACAUCGCAGUCCAUGCAUCAACAAGUCUUCAAAGGAAGCGUUGGAAAGAAUUCAAGGCAUGUGGUCAAGCGCGCCGUGUGACUUCAGCGAGCACCUCUGCAACUUGUGACCCGGCCAAGCGACAUUCAAGGCUCUCCAAGGGGCUCCGAGGCGAAUUACGUUGCGGGAUUCCCUGGUGUACCCACAUCAUGAUUGCUUCUUGUCACGUCGGCGGAACAUUUGCACUUGGCUUUGCAUAAUCACAAGCAAGGCCCUGAGGUCCGCCAGGAGUCGGCUACUGUCGCAGGGGCGCUGCCGGAUGGGGGACGAGAGGGCUGGCGGGAAGCUGAGGGAGGGAGGGCGGCGGCGGUGGCGGCGUUCAGCCCUUCUCUUUCACUAACGGGCAUCCAGGAAGCCUUGGGCCUGGCAUCACCUACGCGACAGAUCCACAUCAAGUCACGAUUUACGUUGUGCUGCCUCUGUACAAUGUGCCACGCCUUAUUCUUUGAUGACACAGCCAAAAUGUAAGGUGCAUGGAAGGCAAGACAGACAAAUGCAAAGAGUGCCAUGGGCAAUGAAAUCACCUGGAAUAGUCAAUCGAGAUGUCACUAGCAGCGCUUGAAAUACUAGUGCAAAUUUUCUGCUACGAAAGCACGGGGGACAGAGAUGGCGGCGGCAUCCCCGGCCAGCGGUGACCCACUUUUAUUUGGAGCUGCUGUUUUCCCCACUGUCACAGAAAGGUCUCACUUGCUAUGAGCUCAGCUUUCUUUUCUCUUUUGCUCCCCAUGAGACAUUUACAGCCACUUGAGUGCACCAAUACACAAAGCAUUCACAUGGACACGUGACAAUUUAGUUGUCCCACUUAUGAAUGUUGACGUUUAUUGGAGAUGGAAAGGAAACACAGAUGAAGUCUUUCUACUAUCUGCAGCACUAUUCAAAGUCAUUUCCCACUUUGGAAGUGGUUCAAAUUGAAAGGUUAUUUUGGGCUGGUU